rnacentral:sRNA from 1 species
UCGCUAAAUUACGACCGCCUAUAGGCCAAU